AACUGUGUCGAAGGCCUGUGCGGGAAGCAGGUUGUAUAAUGGAUUUCAAAGCUGGCAAAACAAAUACUCGUAUUUGACAUUAUUUUUAAUUGGCACUGCAUAUUUUUAAAAGUUUUGGCUCGUUUGAGUGGUACAAUUUGAAGGUGCAGGAUCAAAAAGCUGAAAAUACCUCAUCGAAAAUACUUUGAUCCUACUUUACCGUGUGCGAUAAGAUGAUGUCUUAAAGAUAAGGGCUUUUAUGCUGUAUCUUAUCAAUUAAUGCUUCAGCAAUCAAACACGACACCUCCAACAAGCUGUUGCCACUCAGUCUCUGUUCCUCUGUUCACCACAGACAGAGCUUCCUCCUGCGUGUUCAUAUCCUUCUGAACGAAAACUUGAUCCACGAGGACAAAUACAAACAGAGCUGCAUGCAUGGCUGGCUGUGGUAUUGUCAUUCUCUGGAUGUCAACCCUUGAUCUCACACUUUGAAGUGCGACCUGAGUUAGUGAAAAACAGAUAACUGCCUUAAAGUUAUGCAAAUGCUGCAGUGUGGACAUCUCCCACCCUCCCUCUGUCCUGAGGCUGGACCUUACCUUAUCACAGCUCAACCAUCAGGAUGAUAAGAGGAGGAAAGGCCAAAGGGCCGUAAGAAACAGAGCGCACGAUCCAGGUCAACGUUGCGAGGAGACUGGACUCAAAGGAGAGGGAAGGCGGACAAGAAUAUUAUCUGAUAAGGCCCACAGAAGUCUUUUGAUGUCAGCGGGGCUGGUCCUGGGCUACGGGGCUUCAUGCUGAGUGGACGAGCAGAACGACACAGCAGGUUUUGAGCCAUAAGUCACUGAUCAAAAGCUGUCUUACGGAGGCCAGACGUGACCCGAGGCUGCGGAGCGAGCUGCGGCCUGAGCCAAAUGCCUUGUCUCGCCCAGAGAGCGGAGGAGGAGGAGGGAAGGUUUUUACCUACAAGUGGCCAGAAGGAGGGUCCGCUAUAGACAACAACAGAAGUAUCAGUGUCCUGUUACAUCCACACGCCAAUUAAAGGAGUGAAGAUGUAAGGAGCCUCCAUUAUCAGCUCUCUCUGAAGGACAUCAAAGGCCGUGGUGGAGUGAGAGUGCAGCUGCCCUGAUGGUGUGAGUUUCUCUGUCGCUGCAGAGGAACUUGUUUGUGUUGAGGAUGUUUACUGAUCCCAGGGAAGACAAACAGCCUGUCCCCUGUUUGUCGGACCUGCAGCUCAAACACAGACUUGUGUAAAAAAAGAAAAAGGACCAGAGAAAGAGGGAGGCAGAUCUUCAGGAGGCUGCUGGGCUUUUGUUGAUCUUGUCUCUGUCUUCUUGACACUGCGCAAACUCAGUGCUGUGAAAACUAUACCUCCUCACAAAAACAGCUGAAAUCUGACUUUGUUUCUUUCUGUCGUGAUUAACAAAAGAUAAUAAAAAAUUGUCCAAUAGUUUCUAAAAUCAAUGUGCUACCUGAACUCAACACAUGGUGUCACUCUCUUCCAAAAACCCUGAAAUGUUGGAGGUGGCUCCAGUAACAUCUACACACUUGUGAACCAUGUUUUUUGAAAUACAAACUCAUCAUGAUUUGUUUUGUUGCUUCAAAGUUCCUGCCAGAGCAAAAGCUUUUCCUCCAUUUUUGGGAGCUGUGAUAAAUCUCAAGUCCUCUGCUUUCCCUGCGUUUAAGAGAUCUUGAGAUGUCAUUGUUCAUUUGUACAGAGUCAAAUAAUUCACUGUUAAUGUCAAAUACUGGGUUGCCACUCUUCGUGACUCAUGUUAAAAGAGUUGUUUUAUUUUGAAAAUCUGAGAAGUGAGAAGAAUCUUAUAUUUGUUCUGAUUUAUAGUUUGAGAAUCUUUGAUUGAGCUGAAAGUCAUUUUAUAGAAGCAGCCUUUUUUUAAAUAAGGUCUUGCUUGACAUGGGUCAUCCGCAGUUUCUGAUUUCUCAAUUUCUAACUUUGUUUUUCUUAUUUUGAGGUUUGAAACAUGCAUUUUCAUUUUUGUUUGCCCCAUUUUGUUCAAGUUUCAAAUUUUGUUCAAGUCUUAUUCACACUUUUGAAAUAAAAAAUAAUAAUUAAUGUAAAAAGCAACUGUUUGAUUUUGUUAGAUAUAAAGUGUUACAGAAUUAUUUUUAUCUUUUCUAAAUAAUUGGUUUAAUUGCUCAGAUUCUACUUUAUAAUAAAACAUUUAAUGAAAAUACUAACAUCUUUUAUAGAUUUCAUUUAAAUUUAACAACAUGUAACUUUUAAAAAAUGGGUUGCCCUAAAAUAAAGACCUGUUAACAACUG